ensembl:lncRNA
UGUUCAAGGCUCGCUCCCAGGCCCUAACUCCCCAUUCAGACGUCUGGCCACACGGAGUGGCUCCCAUGUCUCCUAGAGCUCUAUCUGAGUCUGCGAGUGGAGGGGACUCAGCCUGGGAGGGACCCCAGCUGACCGGGAGGAAAGGGCAGUCAGGGUGCCUGAAUAGAACAUCCUGGACCUUCUAUACUGCCUCCUCAUGAAGCGCUUGUCCAGGCUGAAGUUUAGCACUUCCAGAAUUAGCUCCUCCUUUCAUUAGACAUCUUGCCUUGAGCUGAAACCUGACUCCUGAUGGUCAAGGUGGCCUUGCUGCCGCCCGUGCUGUUCUUUCCGAGUCCAGGCACUGGUCACGUGUCCCUCCCACAGCCCUGUGGGGUCAGAGGGCAGUCCCCAGGGCACAGAGAAGGAGCAUGAUGCUUACGUACACCUGCCAGCAGGGCUGAGUGUCCAUGGCCAUUGUGAGGUGAACUGGACAUGAGCCUGAGCUCGGACUGAGCCAGGCGCUGGACAGUCACCUAUCCUGCCCACUGGCCCUCAGUCCCCAAGUGGAGACACCAAGGCCCAAGUUGUUUCCACAACUGUCCUGGGAAGCCUCCUGGGUUACACAAGUUUCCCUGAGGUCACCUUGGCUCAUAUCCUGCCAUUUCCACCCUGGAGUGCAAGCAAGGGAUGAACAAAGUCCUCUUGGUUUCGAGCUUAAUGUGGUCUUUCUUCAAGUAGCAUACACAUACACACAGACACACACAAACACAUAUACCCACAUAACACACACACAUACACACACACACACACACAUAUAUAUACACACAAACACAUAUACCCACAUCACACACACACACAUAUAUAUACACAUAAACACAUAUACCCACAUCACACACAAACACACACCUAUAUACAAAUAUAAACACAUACACACAUAUAUACACACACACAUACACAAACUUCAACCCUAAAAUCUUCCCCCACAGCAUCAAGUGUGGAACCUGAUAUGCAGAAUUCACAGGUGCACUUCCCAGCUUACUUUUCAGCAUUUAGAAGUGUUUCUUGUCUUCUAGCAGAGUUAUCAAGUGUUACUAUAUUGAAUUCAUUUACAAUGUUUCUAUUCUGUUCCCAGAAAACUCUAGUUGCUCAAGGACUGUGUGAAAACUGAUGCAAAGAACUGACUCAUUUGAAAAGACCCUGAUGCUGGGAAAGAUUGAAGGUAGGAGGAGAAAGGGACGACAGAGGGUAAGAUGGUUGGAUGACAUCACCGACUCAAUGGACAUGAGUUUGAGUAAACUCCAGGAGUUGGCGAUGGACAGGGAGGCCAGGCAUGCUGCAGUCCAUGGGGUCACAAAGAGUCAGACGUGACUGAGUGACUGAACUGAACUGUGUGAAAACUAACUGCCAAACCAUGGAAACAGAAAAUUAAUGUUAGGAUACUAUUCCUAUUCUGCAGUUCUUAUUUGAAAAGUUCUGCAUUCUGCAUGUCACAGUGUUCACUGAUGUAGUUCCUGAUGGGUGCAGGUAUUAGGUCACUCAAGGUGGAAGCCUGGGGAAGCCUCUGUCGACAAGAGCAGUGUGAGCUCGGUUUCUGGGAAGAACAUGUUGGGAAUUUCUCACAGGAGACCUGGCCAUAUAGAGGCAUGCGCUGUCACAAUGCUCUUAGGGACGGCAGACUCAGAAAGUCCCCACUGAGCACACAGCACACUCCCCGGGGCUGGACUGUGUGCUCAGACCCCAAGGGUGGGAGGCAGGGGGGACCCUGUCCAGGCUGCUGGCCUAGCCGGGCAGGAAUGAACUUCUGGUGCCUCCUGGCCGAGGCUCCAGCACACAGUGUCUGAAGGGCUUUGGCUCCCAUGCCGGACCUUUGGCCCAAGUGCAGGGUGUUCCAGCACAGCUCAGGUCCUCUCCUCCCCCUGUGGCCUGCCACUCAGCCUCCCACUCAAAUGUUUUUAUUAGUAAGAAUGACAUUCCCAGUCUCAUUUAGGGCAAAAAGGGGAGUUGUGUCUGACUCUGCGACCCUAUGGACUAUAGCCCGCCAGGCUCCUCUAUCCAGGGGAUUCUUCAGGCAAGAAUACUGGAGUGGCUUGCCAGUCUCUCCUCCAGGGGAUCUUCCCAAUCCAGGGAUCGAACCCAGGUCUCCCACAUUGCAGGCAGGUUCUUUACGGUCUGAGCCACCAGGGAAGCAAAUAGAGAAGUGGCCCACAAAACGAGGACAAAAGUUAAUUUCUCAAGGAACACAUUCUGCAGGGUUUUAGUGACUGUUCCUCCCACCCUGUGAAAGGUAGAAUGUUUGAUUCUGAGACCCUGGUGUCAUAUUGGGGGAGAAGGAGGGGGCAGGAGGGAGAAGAGGAGCGGA